rnacentral:misc_RNA from 1 species
CCAACUUCAAUUCUCAGGACUCAAGUGAAAGCUCCGUCUGUUAUCCAGUUCGAAAGAUGCUCUCCGCUACCUCUGGGUACUGUGAUAAGCUGCUUGCUCACUUACAUAUUGAACAUUUGAAGGUGCGUAUCUUCUCUGGUGCUGUAUUUCUUUGAUCGAUUUCUUCUGCUUUCUCUCUUCAUGGUCAUUCAUAAAACCCAAUUCUCAUUGAGCAGAUUUUUGCUUUUCAGAGUUUGUUUUUUCUUCUAACUAUUUUCCUCAAACAAUAGAUUACAUAGAACAGAAAGAAUCAUGGAAGGGUUAUUAAACACUUUCCCUCACCGAACUUGCUUAAAACCCUUCGUUUUCAAUACUAAAACAUCUCAUAAUCUCCCAUUCAUGAAAUUAAGAACUGGGUUUGUUCAUCGAAAUCUCAAACUGGGUUUUCGACCAAUAAUCUGUGUGAAUUCCGGUAGAGAUGAUGCUAUUAGCACUCAAAGUGUUGUUGGUAGUGAUUAUUAUGAUAAGGGAGCAGAGGAUUGGGAAUUGGAAUUUCUUGGGGAGAUUGACCCCUUAGGUUUUCAAGCACCCAAGAAGAGGAAAAAACAACAAAAUUCCAAAUUGCUUGAAGAUACUGUUGGGAUGGAUUGGUGUUUGAGGGCUAGGAAGGUUGCCCUCAAGUCAAUUGAGGCAAGGGGAUUGAGUCAUAAGAUGGAAGAUUUGAUUAAUGUAAAGAAGAAGAAGAAUAAGAAGAAG